AGUGAACGCUGGCGGUAGGCCUAACACAUGCAAGUCGAACGGCAGCACAGUAAGAGCUUGCUCUUACGGGUGGCGAGUGGCGGACGGGUGAGGAAUACAUCGGAAUCUACUUUUUCGUGGGGGAUAACGUAGGGAAACUUACGCUAAUACCGCAUACGACCUACGGGUGAAAGCAGGGGAUCUUCGGACCUUGCGCGAUUGAAUGAGCCGAUGUCGGAUUAGCUAGUUGGCGGGGUAAAGGGCCACCAAGGCGACGAUCCGUAGCUGGUCUGAGAGCAUGAUCAGCCACCCUGUAACUGAGACACGGUCCAGACUCCUACGGUAGGCAGCAGUGGGGAAUAUUGGACGAUGGGGGAGUGCCUGAUCCAGCCAUACCGCGUGGGUGAAGAAGGACUUCGGGUUGUAAAGCCCUUUUGUUGGGAAAGUAAAGCAGCAGGUUUAUACCCCGCUGUUCUGACGGUACCCAAAGAAUAAGCACCGGCUAACUUCGUG
rnacentral:rRNA from 1 species